GACGGGCCCGCACAAGCAGCGGAGCGUGUGGUUUAAUUCGAUGCUACACGAAGAACCUUACCAGGGUUUGACAUGCUAGUGGUAGGAAACCGAAAGGUGACCGACCCUUCGGGGAGCUAGCACAGGUGCUGCAUGGCUGUCGUCAGCUCGUGUCGUGAGAUGUUCGGUUAAGUCCGCUAACGAGCGCAACCCUCGCUGUGUGUUAUAUGUGUCACAUGGGACUGCCGGCCUUAAGCCGGAGGAAGGUGGGGAUGAUGUCAAGUCAGCAUGGCCUUUAUGUCCUGGGCUACACACACGCUACAAUGGUCAGCACAAUGGGUCGCUAAGCCGCAAGGUGGAGCCAAUCCUCAAAGUUGGCCUCAGUUCAGAUUGUAGGCUGCAACUCGCCUGCAUGAAGAUGGAGUUGCUAGUAAACGCAGGUCAGCUAUACUGCGUUGAAUACGUUCCGGGGCUU
rnacentral:rRNA from 1 species